AUUGAACGCUGGCGGCAUGCCUAACACAUGCAAGUCGAACGAGACCUUCGGGUCUAGUGGCGCACGGGUGCGUAACGCGUGGGAAUCUGCCCUUGGGUUCGGAAUAACAGUUGGAAACGACUGCUAAUACCGGAUGAUGACGUAAGUCCAAAGAUUUAUCGCCCAGGGAUGAGCCCGCGUAGGAUUAGCCAGUUGGUGAG
rnacentral:rRNA from 1 species